rnacentral:rRNA from 1 species
GACGGGGGGGGCAAGUGUUCUUCGGAAUGACUGGGCGUAAAGCGUGCGCAGGCGGCUAUGCAAGACAGAUGUGAAAUCCCCGGGCUCAACCUGGGAACUGCAUUUGUGACUGCAAGGCUAGAAUCUGGCAGAGGGGGGUAGAAUUCCACGUGUAGCAGUGAAAUGCGUAGAUAUGUGGAGGAAUACCGAUGGCGAAGGCAGCCCCCUGGGCUAAGAUUGACGCUCAUGCACGAAAGCGUGGGGAGCAAACAGG